GUGCAUUUAUAGGUGUACAGGUUAAUAUGAAUAGUCGGUAUUUAUAAUAGUUUGGGUAAGAGAAGGAGGUGUUCAAAUUGGCCAAUUGGCCAGCUUCAUACAGCUAUUAAUUAUCUCAUUAUACUGAUGUAAUUAGUAGGGCAAGAAGGGAUGAAGAAAGGAGUGACGCUUCGGGUGGCACGUGUGGGGACUCUAAAAUUAAUACGCAAUAAGGAGAGGGAAUUAAUUUUUUGAGAAGAUUGUAGAGGGAAGUCUGGAAAAUUCUACAAUCAGCUAGAGAUAGGAGGUUAAGUCUAAGAAGCACCGGGCCGUAUAGUUGUGUGAAGGGUGCGUAAUUCCAAGCUUAAAAUCCACAAAACUAAGAAAUAUACGUUGAAUGCGCUUAAUCUGUCGGCAGUGGACUGCCGAAUGAGGGUUCCAAUAACAGAGUCAUAUUCGAGUACAGGUCUGACCAGCGCACAGAACAGCGCUUUAAAGAAGUAACCAUUUUUAAAUAUGUUAUACUAGCUAUAUAAUAAUAGUACGUAAUAUUAUUUUAUAAUUACCUACCUAGAUAAUAUUAAUUAAAAUUUUGAUUAAAAAUACAAAAUUAAAUUUUAAUUCUACAAUAUUAUAAAGAGCUUUUUAAAUUUAUAAUCAAAUAAUUCGAUAGAUAUACG